GACGAACGCUGGCGGCGUGCCUAAUACAUGCAAGUAGAACGCUGAAGCUUGGUGCUUGCACCGAGCGGAUGAGUUGCGAACGGGUGAGUAACGCGUAGGUAACCUGCCUGGUAGCGGGGGAUAACUAUUGGAAACGAUAGCUAAUACCGCAUAAUAGUAGAUGUUGCAUGACAUUUGCUUAAAAGGUGCAAUUGCAUCACUACCAGAUGGACCUGCGUUGUAUUAGCUAGUUGGUGAGGUAACGGCUCACCAAGGCAACGAUACAUAGCCGACCUGAGAGGGUGAUCGGCCACACUGGGACUGAGACACGGCCCAGACUCCUACGGGAGGCAGCAGUGGGGAAUCUUCGGCAAUGGACGGAAGUCUGACCGAGCAACGCCGCGUGAGUGAAGAAGGUUUUCGGAUCGUAAAGCUCUGUUGUAAGAGAAGAACGAGUGUGAGAGUGGAAAGUUCACACUGUGACGGUAUCUUACCAGAAAGGGACGGCUAACUACGUGCCAGCAGCCGCGGUAAUACGUAGGUCCCGAGCGUUGUCCGGAUUUAUUGGGCGUAAAGCGAGCGCAGGCGGUUAGAUAAGUCUGAAGUUAAAGGCUGUGGCUUAACCAUAGUACGCUUUGGAAACUGUUUAACUUGAGUGCAAGAGGGGAGAGUGGAAUUCCAUGUGUAGCGGUGAAAUGCGUAGAUAUAUGAAGGAACACCGGUGGCGAAAGCGGCUCUCUGGCUUGUAACUGACGCUGAGGCUCGAAAGCGUGGGGAGCAAACAGG
rnacentral:rRNA from 1 species